CAAUAGCGUAUAUUAAAGUUGUUGCAGUUAAAAAGCUCGUAGUUGGAUUUGUGGUUCGUCCCGCCGGCUGGGUCAUUGACUUUUGCUGUGCUGGUCGUCCAUCCUUGGGUGGAAUCUGUGUGGCAUUAGGUUGUCGCGCAGGGGAUGCCCAUCGUUUACUGUGAAAAAAUUAGAGUGUUCAAAGCAGGCUUAUGCCGUUGAAUAUAUUAGCAUGGAAUAAUGAUAUAGGACCUUGGUACUAUUUUGUUGGUUUGCGCACUGAGGUAAUGAUUAAUAGGGACAGUUGGGGGUAUUCGUAUUCCAUUGUAAGAGGUGAAAUUCUUGGAUUUUUGGAAGACGAACUACUGCGAAAGCAUUUGCCAAGGAUGUUUUCAUUAA
rnacentral:rRNA from 1 species